rnacentral:rRNA from 1 species
UGGGGAAUAUUGCACAAUGGGCGCAAGCCUGAUGCAGCCAUGCCGCGUGUAUGAAGAAGGCCUUCGGGUUGUAAAGUACUUUCAGCGAGGAGGAAGGCGGUAAGGUUAAUAACCUUAUCGAUUGACGUUACUCGCAGAAGAAGCACCGGCUAACUCCGUGCCAGCAGCCGCGGUAAUACGGAGGGUGCAAGCGUUAAUCGGAAUUACUGGGCGUAAAGCGCACGCAGGCGGUCUGUCAAGUCGGAUGUGAAAUCCCCGGGCUCAACCGGGGAACUGCAUUCGAAACUGGCAGGCUAGAGUCUUGUAGAGGGGGGUAGAAUUCCAGGUGUAGCGGUGAAAUGCGUAGAGAUCUGGAGGAAUACCGGUGGCGAAGGCGGCCCCCUGGACAAAGACUGACGCUCAGGUGCGAAAGCGUGGGGAGCAAACA